CGAGCUGAGCAGUGUCUUGGUGCAGCAGGGCCAACAAGUCCUCCAACUUGGCCUUAAUCUCUGCCGAUGUGAUUCCGACUGCCUGAGAGGAGCUUGCUUCUUUGCCUUCAUCAUUAGAGAUUUCAAUAGCGAAGGAGAAUAGGCUGUCUAGGGAGUCUUGUUCCUAGAAAAAGAAAAAAAAUAAGUUGCUCAGGAUCAUAUAUUAAUAUUACAAAAUCUAGAAAGUUGGAUAACUUACUUGCUUCAGAGUGAUUUUCUGCCUUUGGCGA
rnacentral:lncRNA from 1 species